UGCUUUUCUUUUCCUUCUUUCUUUCUUCUUCUUCCUCUUCUUCUUUUUUUUUUUUUUCCUGUGCUGGGGACCAAACCCAGGGCCUCAUGCAUACUAGACAAACACUCUACCACCAAGUUACAUCCACAUUCUUUAGUAGAUGUAUCUUAACUGCCUAUAGAAAGCCAGGCAUGGUAGCCCAUACCUGUAGUCCCAGCUAUUUGAGAGUCUGAGCGGGGAGGAUCACUUGAACCCACAAGUUGGAGAUCAGCCUGGACAACAUAAGAAGACCUUCACCUCAAAAUAAUAAAAACAAAUAGCUGCCUAUAGAAAGUUCCCUGGCUGGCCCUCCCUCAUCCUUCAGUCUUUCCCUUCUGGUUUGUCUCCUCUUCAGGUUGUGUGUGUCCCUUGUCCCUUGACUCUACAGAAAAGAGACCUCACCAUCUAAAUUGAUUAGAUCUUGAAAAAAUGAGUAAGAACCUACCCCAAACCACGAAUGUUUGCCUUUCUACUCUCUAAAAAUGCUCACCAUUGUUUUCCUUUCUUCCUUACAAUUUGUCUGCAUCUAUGAAAUUGAAUAUGCCCUACAACAUGCUCUUCAGCUGGACAGGAAACAAAAGUAUUUUCUCAAGGGCUGGCUGAGUGCUGGAUAAUCUCCUGCUUGCAUCUGUGAGCCCCCAGCCAAAUGAGAGGGCAAAGAGAUGCGGAAAGUGAUCCAGCUAAGGAGGACGCGACUCCAGCAGCUCUUGCUUGUCAGACCUUCUCCGUAUACUGUGCCUGUGGUUAUAACCCCAGUACGGUCUGUGCUGCAGUCCUUAACAGAAGGCCACCUGGAUUGAAGUAGAAAAUGCAUGUUUUCUAGCGAUGACCUAGAGAAAAAGCACUGACCCCCAAGAGGACAGAAUAUCUGCUCACCAGGACCCGGGACUCCAAACACCUGCAUUGUCUAGACAGCCUGGACUCCUGUGGUGCUCAGAAUGCCUGGGAGAAACUGAAGCCUGUCUGGCCUGGAGGACAGUGACCAUGAUUACUGCACUGGGACCCAUCCCUGAGGAGAAAGGACUUGCUGGAGGAUGAGGAGAGUUUCUAGCUCAGACUCCCCUUGUGAGGAUCCUAAUGCAGAUGCCCAGGCCCCACACAUAGGGACUAUGAGGUGGGACCAGGGCCUCCCAGUGUCUUAAGUCCCAGAUGUAAACAGGUCCUCUCUUGCUUUGCCAAGAGGAGUGAAAUCUGUACAGUUUGGCAAUAACUCUCAGAAGUUUUAAAAGCUUCUGACCUUUGACCUAGUAAUUUCACUUCUGAGAAUUUCCUCUGCAGAGCAUGUAUGUGCACACUGUGUGAAAUGAAGAGGCUAUGAAGAUGGGCAGUGCAGAGAGGUUUAUGUAGCCAAGACUAGAAACAACCCACAUGUCCAAAGAAGUGCUGAGUUUUAAAACUGUUCUGUAUCUGGACAAUGGAUAUUUGUAUCUUAAAAAAAAAAAAAAAAAUGAGGAAGUGCUAUGUGAUUGAAAUGGAAGCAACUACAAAACUUAUUAAAUUCAAAAAAUUAAAGAACAGUGUGUAGGGUAUGCCACCUUUGCAUGAUGUAGGAGCACAGCUGCAUGUCUCCCCUUAGAAAUUAGGAAAAAUGUUU
ensembl:lncRNA